rnacentral:rRNA from 1 species
AUAGCGUAUAUUAAAGUUGUUGCAGUUAAAAAGCUCGUAGUUGGAUUUGUGGAUGGGCAGUCUGGUUCGCCCUUUUGGGCGGUACUUGGGCAGCUCGUCCAUCCUUGGGUGGAAUCUGUGUGGCAUUAAGUUGUCGUGCAGGGGAUGCCCAUCUUUUACUGUGAAAAAAUUAGAGUGUUCAAAGCAGGCUUAUGCCGUUGAAUAUAUUAGCAUGGAAUAAUGAGAUAGGACCUUGGUACUAUUUUGUUGGUUUGCGCACCGAGGUAAUGAUUAAUAGGGACAGUUGGGGGUAUUCGUAUUCCAUUGUCAGAGGUGAAAUUCUUGGAUUUUUGGAAGACGAACUACUGCGAAAGCAUUUACCAAGGAUGUUUUCAUUAAUCAAGAACGAAAGUUAGGGGAUCGAAGAUGAUUAGAUACCAUCGUAGUCUUAACCAUAAACUAUGCCGACAAGGGAUUGGCGGUCGUUGUAUUGACUCCGUCAGCACCUUAUGAGAAAUCACAAGUCUUUGGGUUCCGGGGGGAGUAUGGUCGCAAGGCUGAAACUUAAAGAAAUUGACGGA